UACAGAGGGUGCAAGCAUUGUUCGGAAUUAUUGGGCGUAAAGCGCGUGUAGGCGGCUUUGCAAGUCGGGUGUGAAAUCCCUCAGCUUAACUGAGGAAGUGCGCCCGAAACUGCCGAGCUUGAGUACCGGAGAGGGUGGCGGAAUUCCCCAAGUAGAGGUGAAAUUCGUAGAUAUCGGGAGGAAUACCAGUGGCGAAGGCGGCGACCUGGGCCAAUACUGACGCUGAGGUGCGAAAGCGUGGGGAGCAAACAGG
rnacentral:rRNA from 1 species